rnacentral:rRNA from 1 species
UACGUAGGGGGCAAGCGUUGUCCGGAUUUAUUGGGCGUAAAGAGCGUGUAGGCGGCCAGGUAGGUCUGGUGUGAAAACUCGAGGCUUAACCUCGAGAUGUCAUCGGAAACCAUCUGGCUAGAGUCCGGAAGAGGAGAGUGGAAUUCCUGGUGUAGCGGUGAAAUGCGCAGAUAUCAGGAAGAACACCAAUGGCGAAGGCAGCUCGCUGGGACGUGACUGACGCUGAGACGCGAAAGCGUGGGGAGCAAACAGG